GAGGGAAGAAUUCUGGACCUGUUGUUUCAUAAUUAAUUUUCAUGCAAGUUCUGUGUGUCCUAGAUGUCCCCUAAAGAUGCUCUGUGACUGUAUUCCCCAACCAGUUAGCAAAAUGCCUAGAAGUAGGCAUGUUGGCUCCAUGUUGAACACCUGGCAUCCAUUUAGACCCAGCUAGUAUCCAUUACCUAAUCAGCCUUAGGGCACCAGGGAAGCUGGGCUUGGAAGAAGAAAAGACAGUGCCAUGGAAUGUUGCCAAAACAGAGCAGGAAUUAUUGAAUUACACAAGAAGCUCUGGCUGAGACAAGACAUCAAAGGCACAUAUAUUGGUUAAGAUCAGUAAGAUUGUCUGAAACCAUGUGUCAGAGAAAAUUCUCUUGGGAUAAGAAAAUGAAGAUUUGAAAUUACUUCCAAGACUCUUUUGUAUGGAAGACUGUGAUAGGAUCAGAAUUUCUCUGGCGCACUUUCCUCCAUCCACCUAAAAGAAGGCAAAGCUAUCUGCUGUCUAGCUUGCCUCUCAGACUAUGAGUCAUCACACCCUGCUGAUCUGCUGAUCAGACCCAUUUCUGUGAGGAAGCAAAGAGGCUACAUCUACCAUAACCGAAGACAAGUACCUCUGUAUUAUAUUAUAUGUAUUAUUAUUAUAGUUCCACAUCUUUGCUGUGUUAAGGCAAAGUAAACCUCCUUUUGUUCAAUGA